rnacentral:rRNA from 1 species
UACGUAGGGGGCGAGCGUUAUCCGGAAUUAUUGGGCGUAAAGAGUGCGUAGGUGGUUAUUUAAGCGCGGGGUGAAAGGCUACAGCUUAACUGUAGUAAGCCUUGCGAACUGGAUGACUUGAGUGCAGGAGAGGAAAGCGGAAUUCCUAGUGUAGCGGUGAAAUGCGUAGAUAUUAGGAGGAACACCAGUGGCGAAGGCGGCUUUCUGGACUGUAACUGACACUGAGGCACGAAAGCGUGGGGAGCAAACAGG